rnacentral:rRNA from 1 species
UGAGGAAUUUUCCGCAAUGGGCGAAAGCCUGACGGAGCAAUCCCGCGUGGAGGAUGACACCCUUCGGGGCGUAAACUUCUUUUCUGAGGGAAGAAAUUUUGACGGUACCUCAGGAAUAAGCGACGGCAAAUUCCGUGCCAGCAGCCGCGGUAAUACGGAAGUCGCAAGCGUUAUCCGGAAUCAUUGGGCGUAAAGCGUUCGAAGGCGGUUUGGAAAGUCUGAUAUUAAAUACCUGCGGCUCAACCGAGGU